AUACGUAGGGGGCGAGCGUUGUCCGGAAUUACUGGGCGUAAAGGGUGCGUAGGCGGUACUUUAAGUUGGAUGUGAAAUCCCCGGGCUUAACCUGGGGCCUGCAUCCAAUACUGGAGAACUAGAGUGCAGGAGAGGGAAGCGGAAUUCCUAGUGUAGCGGUGAAAUGCGUAGAUAUUAGGAAGAACACCAGUGGCGAAGGCGGCUUUCUGGACUGUAACUGACGCUGAGGCACGAAAGCGUGGGGAGC
rnacentral:rRNA from 1 species